rnacentral:rRNA from 1 species
CGCUCUUUGGAUUAUUAACAUGAAGAGUCAGACCUGCCCAGUGAUAUAAAUUUAACGGCCGCGGUACUCUGACCGUGCAAAGGUAGCAUAAUCAUUUGCCUUAUAAUUGAAGGCUAGUAUGAAUGGUUUGAUGAAAACAAAACUGUCUCCUUUUAAUUUUAUAGAACUUGAUUUUUAGGUGAAGAAGCCUAUAUAAAAUUGAAAGACAAGAAGACCCUAUCGAGCUUUAAAAAAUUUUACUAAAAUAAAGUCAUUCAAGAACUAUUUAUAGUAAAAGAUUUUAGUUGGGGCGACUAUGGAACAAUAAAGCUUCCAGUUUAAUACAUAAAACGUUAUAAGUUUUGAUCCAAAACUUUUGAUUAAAAAAAUUAGUUACCGUAGGGAUAACAGCAUAAUCUUUUUUGAGAGCUCCUAUCGAAAAAAAGGUUUGUGACCUCGAUGUUGGACUAGAAUAUCCUAAAUAAUGCAGAAGUUUUUAAGGGUUGGUCUGUUCGACCAUUAAUAUUUUACGUGAUCUGAGUUCAGACCGG